CGGGGUGCAGCAGGCGCGAAACCUGUGCAAUAGGCGAAAGCGUGACAGGGUUACUGUGAGUGAUGCCCGCUAAGGGUAUCACUUGGCACCUCUAAAAAUGGUGCAGAAUAAGGGGUGGGCAAGUCUGGUGUCGGCCGCCGCGGGAAUACCAGCACCCCGAGUCCCCAGACGAUUAUUGGGCCUAAAGCAUCCGUAGCCUGUUCUGCAAGUCCUCCGUUAAAUCCACAUGCUCAAAAGAGGGGUUACCGAGGCCCACGCAGAGCUAGGAGGCGGGAGAGGCUAACGGUACUCAGUGGUUAGGGGUAAAAUCCAUUGAUAGCAUGAAGACCACCAGUGGGGAAGGCGGUACGCCAGAACGCGCUUGACGGUGAGGGAUGAAAGCUGGGGGAGCAAACCGGAUGAGAUACCCGGGUAGUCCCAGCCGUAAACGACGCAGCCUCGGUGAUGGGUUGGCCUCGAGCCAACCCAGUGCCGCAGGGAAGCCGUUAAGUCUGCCGCCUGGGGAGUACGGUCGCAAGACUGAAACUUAAAGGAAU
rnacentral:rRNA from 1 species